AAAAUUCGGAGCAAAGAUCCUCACUUCCAGGAGAAAGAUAAAGCUUCUCCAGCUUGGGUGAAAGAGGAGAGUUGGAGGAGAAGCAAGAAGCCCUGGACAGUGGCAUGCCUUUUCUGCAGGUGGAGUGAGGAGGGAAGGAGGCCCACACAGAGUGGCCUGGAGGUUGACAUGAGACCCGGACAGCCUCAGAGAGUUUCUCUUGCCUCACUGCAUGUUGGGAGCAGCCAAAUAGCUUGCAUGAGCUCAAGAACAGCCCAAAUAUAGUACAAAGAGUCCCCAGGCUGGACAAGGCCCUGCACACAUGAUUUAAGGAUUGUGGGUGGAGACCCAGAGAGAUGGAACAAU
rnacentral:lncRNA from 1 species